GCGCCCGUAGCUCAGCUGGAUAGAGCACCAGACUUAGAAUCUGGGGGUCGGGAGUUCGAAUCUUCCCGGGCGCGCCA
rnacentral:tRNA from 1 species